rnacentral:lncRNA from 1 species
GGCCUGAAACCCAGUCCCGAAGGGCCUGCCCCUGGGGUGGGGUCCGAGGGCUCCAUUACACCCGCUGAGUUCUAUCUUACUCUAAGUCCCCCGUGAGUGUCGCCAGCUGCUCCUCACCCUCUCUCCACUGCUGCUUUUCAGAAAGACCUGAGGACCCUUAGGGGAUCAGGAGCCCAGAACUGGGGCUCCACAGGGAAGGGGUUAAAGCCAGACACAAAUACAAGGAAGCGGGUAAAGGGAGGAGAGGAGCCCGGAGAUGUCACACACCUGAAGAGGCAUCCAGCAGUGUGCCAGAUAACAGAAGGUGCAGGUGGCAGAUGGGAGCACUCACCAUGAGCAAAAAGCUGGUGGUUUCACAGUGAAGCUGGC